rnacentral:rRNA from 1 species
GAUGAACGCUAGCGGCAGGCUUAACACAUGCAAGUCGAGGGGUAACAUUGUAGCUUGCUACAGAUGACGACCGGCACACGGGUGCGUAACGCGUAUAGAAUUUACCUUUUACAGAGGGAUAGCCUUUAGAAAUGAAGAUUAAUACCUCAUAGUAUUGUUGAUUGGCAUCAAUUAAUAAUUAAAGAUUUAUCGGUAAAAGAUGACUAUGCGUCCUAUUAGCUAGAUGGUAAGGUAACGGCUUACCAUGGCGACGAUAGGUAGGGGUCCUGAGAGGGAGAUCCCCCACACUGGUACUGAGACACGGACCAG